rnacentral:rRNA from 1 species
AGAACGAACGCUGGCGGCAGGCUUAACACAUGCAAGUCGAACGCCCCGCAAGGGGAGUGGCAGACGGGUGAGUAACGCGUGGGAAUCUACCCAGCUCUACGGAACAACCCAGGGAAACUUGGGCUAAUACCGUAUACGUCCGAUAGGAGAAAGAUUUAUCGGAGUUGGAUGAGCCCGCGUUGGAUUAGCUAGUUGGUGGGGUAAUGGCCUACCAAGGCUACGAUCCAUAGCUGGUCUGAGAGGAUGAUCAGCCACACUGGGACUGAGACACAGCCCAGACUCCUACGGGAGGCAGCAGUGGGGAAUAUUGGACAAUGGGCGAAAGCCUGAUCCAGCCAUGCCGCGUGAGUGAUGAAGGCCUUAGGGUUGUAAAGCUCUUUCAGUAGGGAAGAUAAUGACGUACUACAGAAGAAGCCCGGAUAACUCGCGCCAGCAGCCGC